GGGGAAGUAGCUCAGCUGGGAGAGCACCUGCUUUGCAAGCAGGGGGUCGUCGGUUCGAACCCGAUCUUCUCCA
rnacentral:tRNA from 1 species